CCCUGAUCUGAUAGAGAAUUGUGUUAAGUACUUUACUAACUGUAACAUCUGAACUUCAUUUAAAUUCCUUAGGUUCACAGGUGUCCUAUUGAAGCUAAAUGGUGAAUGCCUUCAUUUCUAAGAUUGUUUGCUCUCUCUGAAUCAGUGGAUGGAUUGUGUGGGUUGUUGUAGGUACCAAGUAUAUAGCUGGAAGUAUUUUCAUUGAGAGAUGUGGAUGUGUGUCUUGGUGCAAGGGGACUACAAAUUCUUCAAGAUUUGGAGGUGGGAGUGGAAGUACCAAAACUACUGAAUUUGGCAAUUUACACUCAACUAUUUUAGAACUGCUCUCUUUGCAGUUCAUGGAAGGUUGGGAUUACGUAGCAAAGAAAAGAGGAGAUCCAACUGUUGCUGACUUUCAACCCUAACUUACCUGUUAUGCUUUCAAAAACCUUUUAUUUUUUGUCGUGCUAUUGCUUCCAUAGUCAUUUACAUAAAAUUUCUGACUGAAUUUCAUGGUUUGAUUUUUC
rnacentral:lncRNA from 1 species